AUUUUACUUUACUUUGAAGUGACUCCAUGAUCCAUGCCUGAUCCAGGCCACCGAGCUACAUUGCACUGUAGGACCGCUUUCUCAAGUUUGCUUCCAGAUGGAGGGACUAGUGAAUUCUAUAUUUGAACCAGGGGUGAAUCAGUCUCUUCUUAUCGCGACCAAUUUUGCAUUCUUCGUUUUGCUGUCGGUGCUGGUGCUCAUUGCUGUUUUCGUGGAUUUGAACAUCCAUGUCAUUUUCAUUUCCAUUCUGACAACCCUGCUGUGGAUAGCCAUUAACUGGUUUAUUUUGGAGAUGGCCACCGUCACACCAGCUGAGCCGGUCACGAAUGCGGACAUCGGGGCUGACGAUAGCGGUCAUGCCUCGGCCGGGCAGGACACAGACACCAGUGCAUCCUCAUCACAUGCCAAGGCUGAGUGAGCAGAGAUAUGCUUCAGGUCUGUGCUGCGACCAUUACAUCCAGUUGCCCUUCAAUCACAAACCGAGGGCAAUGUGAACGAUGUCCACUCCUGCUGUGAGGGAUGAAAAAUAGACCUGUGUCUAAUUGUAGAUGCCAGGUGCUAUUCAGAGAACGUAGCUCUGACUACCUCUACUGGCCAAACAUGGUGAGCACCUCUGUUCCUAUUGUCAGCAACCGAUGAAGCUCCGGUAUGGAGUGUAGCGUGUGCGAGUCUGCUCCAUGCUCUCACUUUGAGCCCCUUUAGAUAACCUGGUGUACCGCUGCGAAGUUGGUACCAUUUCCAAUGGACACACGUCCUUGUUGUAUUCUCCCUGCCAUAGUCUACCUGUACACCGUGGCGCUUGCCACAUCAGCCACAAGUUGGAUAGCUUGUCCUGCUUGCUGUGCUCUCUCUCUCUCUCUCUCUUUCUCUCUCUCUCUCUCUCUCUCUCUCUCUCUCUCUCUCUCUCUUUCUCUCUCUCUUUCUCUUUCUUUCUCUCUCUCUCUCUCUCUUACUCUAUUCCUCUCUCUCUCUCUCUCUCUCUCUCUCUCUCUCUCUCUCUCUCUCUCUCUCUCUCUCUCUCUCUCUCUCUCUCUCUCUCUCUCUCUCUCUCUCUCUCUCUCUCUCUCUCUCUCUCUCUCUCUCUCUCUCUCUCUCUCUCUCUCUCUCUCUCUCUCUCUCUCUCUCAGUUGCUGCAUCACUUACCCUUUGGCAAGUGGGGUUGCUGAGGAUUUUGCCCACCUUGCUCAGUCCCUUUCCAGAGUUUGGGCAUAGCUGUGGUCAAGUGGUAGCUGGAUCUUUAGUUCUACACGAGCAUGUAGCUCAGUUCUUUCGAUCUGAGCAUUGGCAAUGUAGCUUCAUUAACUUGUAGCAAACAUCGACUCUUCCCAACUACCUGCCUGUCCAUUUCAUUUCCUAGUUUUUUUAUUGGCUUAUUGUACAAUGUACUUACUAUUAUUUUAUUUGCAGUAGUAGGUUAGUUAUCUGUACGAAAAAGAGGCAGUGACUUUGGCAAUAGAUGUUGCUCCCUAUGCCGGAGCUCCUGCUUUUCCUAUCCUAUGAAGCUAGUUCAGUAGGGAAAAGUGUGAGCCCUCGAGUCGUGUUUCUUGUUGAGAAUGGCAAAAUAUAUUGUGAAGAAUCAA